AGACCCGAAACCCGGUGAUCUAGCCAUGGGCAGGUUGAAGGUUGGGUAACACUAACUGGAGGACCGAACCGACUAAUGUUGAAAAAUUAGCGGAUGACUUGUGGCUGGGGGUGAAAGGCCAAUCAAACCGGGAGAUAGCUGGUUCUCCCCGAAAGCUAUUUAGGUAGCGCCUCGUGAAUUCAUCUCCGGGGGUAGAGCACUGUUUCGGCAAGGGGGUCAUCCCGACUUACCAACCCGAUGCAAACUGCGAAUACCGGAGAAUGUUAUCACGGGAGACACACGGCGGGUGCUAACGUCCGUCGUGAAGAGGGAAACAACCCAGACCGCCAGCUAAGGUCCCAAAGUCAUGGUUAAGUGGGAAACGAUGUGGGAAGGCCCAGACAGCCAGGAUGUUGGCUUAGAAGCAGCCAUCAUUUAAAGAAAGCGUAAUAGCUCACUGGUCGAGUCGGCCUGCGCGGAAGAUGUAACGGGGCUAAACCAUGCA
rnacentral:rRNA from 3 species